GGAUGUGAGGGCGAUCUGGCUGCGACAUCUGUCACCCCAUUGAUCGCCAGGGUUGAUUCGGCUGAUCUGGCUGGCGAGGCGGGUGUCCCCUUCCUCCCUCACCGCCCCAUGUGCGUCCCUCCCGAAGCUGCACGCUCGCUCGGUGGACGAGGACGACCUUCCCCCAUAGAGGAGGACAGUCUUGGGUCAAGGGCAUACGAGCAGCUGCGCUCCCCUGCCAGAACCUCCAAACAAGCUCUCAAGAAAUCUAAGACCAAAUAAACGAAACUCCUUGCUUGAACUCUACUUUGGAU
rnacentral:sRNA from 1 species